CGUAGAUUAUGGCUAAAGCUAUAAAAUUCGCUGUUAUCGUUUUGUUUCCGUUAUCAGUUUAUAAUUUGAUAGGUUUCUUUUAUUCUUGUGGGGGAAAAGUGUUUCCAAUCUGGCAACCCGAACACCGGGGGUUUCUCAGAGAGUGCGCGUGGCGAAGGUAGGAGCCGUGCCGGCCAUCGUGCUCCCGCUCGCGGGCGAUGGCGCUCGUUCACCGCGAAGGAUGUGACGGACGGACUGGACUGAUGUCUGACUGACUGAUACUGACACGGCACGCAGGUUACAUCUGUCUUAUCAGUGCUAGGUACCGAGCCACUGAUCUGACAGGUCGUGUGUUAAACUGCUAUCAGCUACCUGGCGAGCUUACAAAGAUGACCUUCAAAAACAUAG